UGCGCAAGCGCAGUACAGCGGGAAGCCUCUGAAAAUGUAUCCAACAUGGCGUCGGAGCAGAAGACGAAGUUAUCCACAAACCUGCUGCGCAUGAAGUUCAUGCAGAGGGGCCUGGACUCGGAAAACCAGAAACAGCUAGAAGAGGAGGAACGGAAGACGAUCAGGGAUGAGACCUGGUACCUGGAUUUGCCGGAGUUGAAGGAGAAGGAGAGCUUCAUCAUAGAAGAGCAGAGCUUCUCCCUGUGUGAAGACCUUCUCUAUGGAAGGAUGCCUUUCAGAGGCUUUAAUCCUGAAGUUGAGAAGUUCAUGCUUCAGAUGAAUUCCAGGAACAGAGUGGCGGCGGCAGAAGAGGAGGAGACUGUAGAGGCUGACGUGUCGGAGGAAGAAAUGGCAAGAAGAUAUGAGACUUUGGAGGGAACAAUUGGGAAAAUGUUUGCCAAGAAUAGGGACUGAGCCAAUGAUGAAGAA
rnacentral:lncRNA from 1 species